UACGUAGGGGGCGAGCGUUGUCCGGAAUGACUGGGCGUAAAGAGCGCGUAGGCGGCCGUACAAGUCUUGCGUGAAAGUCCCGCUUUCAAGGUGGGAAUUGCGGGGGAAACUGUAUGGCUUGAGUGCGGAAGGGGUAAGUGGAAUUCCCAGUGUAGCGGUGAAAUGCGUAGAGAUUGGGAGGAACACCAGUGGCGAAGGCGACUUACUGGGCCGUAACUGACGCUGAGGCGCGAAAGCGUGGGGAGCGAACAGG
rnacentral:rRNA from 1 species